AACAUUUUUGCAGAUGGAAGGAACCCACUUUAAAAACAAUAGGUCUUUGAGAUGUCAGCUAAGGCUCGCUUGAUAUGUGCUGCGUGCCACAGCAACGCAGUAUAGCCUUUUUCACUCUUAAACUGUAUCCCUUGGAUCUGAAGCAGAACCAUGAUCAAGAGACCUGGGUCCAGUUUCCUGCUCUGCCACUGAUUUCCAGCCUCUUGUGGAAGUCACUCGGCCUCCCUUCAACUCAGCUUCCCGCAGCAGGGGGAGGAUCAAAGCUCUUUCUGGACUGAGGAUGAAUCCAAGCUCAUGCGAUGUUUGCGUGCUCCAGUAAUGUAUUUAUUAUACCAACAUUUCGUGCCAUUUCUCCUCAAAGCCCCUCCUUGUCUCCUCUAGCACAAGAAGGGACAAAGCCACCCAGAUCACGAGGCAGACAGACAUGCCAGGAGCUUGGCCAGGUCUUGUUGUUCUCAGCUGAAGACUCUCCAAAGACUUUAAAGACCCUGGCGCGUACCUCGGAGACACGAAGAUCUCAACCCAGCCCGUACCUCUGCUACGAGCUGUGCAGCGAGCCAAUUUGUGAAAGCCUCCAGCGGGAUAAUCCGUUAGCAGGCUUUAUUAGCGCUCCUCACCAGGCUCCCAUGAACAGAAGAUGUUUUCCCCCCAAACAUGAUGCAUUUUAAAUGGCUCCCCUGCUGACUGUGCAGGGCAGUUCUUGUGCUCUAUGGCCCAGGGACGGCCUGCUAUCAGCCUCGCUCCAAGCCAGCGUUGUUUCAAAGCUGUUUGUUUUCAAACUUCCUCCUGAAAUCAAUCAUCUUCACAGUUGCAGGUCUGAAAUUCUGCAAGGGGA